AUUGAACGCUGGCGGCAGGCCUAACACAUGCAAGUCGAGCGGGGGUAGCAAUACCCUAGCGGCGGACGGGUGAGGAAUGCAUCGGAACGUGCCGAGUCGUGGGGGAUAACACAGCGAAAGUUGUGCUAAUACCGCAUACGCCCUGAGGGGGAAAGUGGGGGACCGCAAGGCCUCACGCGAUUUGAGCGGCCGAUGCCCGAUUAGCUAGUUGGUGAGGUAAAGGCUCACCAAGGCGACGAUCGGUAGCUGGUCUUAGAGGACGAUCAGCCACACUGGAACUGAGACACGGUCCAGACUCCUACGGGAGGCAGCAGUGGGGAAUAUUGGACAAUGGGGGCAACCCUGAUCCAGCCAUGCCGCGUGAGUGAAGAAGGCCUUCGGGUUGUAAAGCUCUUUGAGCGGGGAGGAAGGUUCGCUAUCUAAUACAUGGCGGAAUUGACGUUACCUGCAGAACAAGCACCGGCUAACUCUGUGCCAGCCGCCGCCGUAAAAC
rnacentral:rRNA from 1 species